CCUGCUCCUGCGAGCCCGGGACGAGCUAAGGCCGUAUUUAUCCACUUCAGCCCGCGGCUGCUUCAGCUCUGCCCCUGAUUUUUCAGAGUAUAUUUUCUUUACUCUAGCCAAGGAUGCCAACUCCUAAACCCAACCUCCCUUCUCCGUUCAGCCGGGCCUUGUGGGGUGGCACUUUACCCACAUGUUGAGUCUAUGACAUGGUCAUGCCGUGAUCUGGGGACCUGCCACAUCCCCUUCUCUCUUCCAGCUUCUGCUCACAGUUCCUCAGCCCCUGGCCCAGCAGUGCUCCCCCCAAGGACAAGUGUGGCUCUGUGCCUCACCUACUUGCAAUGCCCUCUCCUCCCUGCCACUUAGGUCAUGGCUCAGAAAGACUCUGGUGUGGCUUCCUGGAGACUUUAAACACUUUUUGAAUCUUUGUGCUUGCUUCGAGGGAAGGGAGGCCUCACCAUGGCACGGAGUGUUAUCUGUUGUUUAGAGGAGCCGCGUGCUGGCUGUGAGCAGCGAAGGAUGCUGCAGCUGGGGCCCACAGGGAGGCAGAAUUAGGCAGGCACCUGCUUUCUGUCAGAUCUGGGGACAGGAGAUGACAGGUUUUAGCUCCUGAGCGUGCCUGAAGAGUCAGUGAGAGGAGCUGGGCCUGGUUUUACUCUGGGCAGGCAGUGGCAGGAGGUGGAUGUUGGAUCCUUUGUACGGAACCACAUGAAGGCGGCCGAUAGAGUGGGGACAGGCAAGGAGUGACAGCAAUUCCAAAAUCUUUGGCCCAAACCUUGUGGAGCUCCCCAGCACAAAACUUUCACGCUGAUCAUCCCAAGAGUAUUUGAGUAUCUUACACUGACUCGCUUAGUCACAUCCAGAAGUUCUGGACCUUUUCCUACAAACCAAGAUCCAUUUCUGAUAUCAAACAGUCUUUGAGGAAGGAUGAUGCCUGUUUGCUAUUCAUUCAGCACUCUGACAGCUGAAUGGUACAAGAACAAAGCAAAACAACAACUAACCCAUCUAAAGCUCAAGUUAGGAGAAGGAUAAUUGUCAUUGUUAUGUCAUCUUUAUUGCUAAAUUGAACCAGCACAACAAAGAUCUAGAAGCGUGUCUAAAUCAAAAUAUGGCAAGGCAGCACCACCCAGAGGUUCUGGAGCUGUGUUGGAACAAGUGAAUGCUGUGCUGGAAGCAGGACAGCCAUGGUGAGUUGCAGUGGUUUACCAUGGGUUUGCAGUCUGCUGAGAGCCAGCUGUGCAGGUAUUCCUCUAGAAUGUUAACUGCCAGCUUCCUGAAUUUAUUCUGCUGAUUUUUCUUGAAGGAUUUUAUCUUAUAUAUCUUCUACAUGAGACCCCCUAACCCUUCCUAGUCACUCUAACCCCCUGCCUACAACUUUCAUGAACUUCCCUGCUGGUGAAAAGCAGAUAUAAAAGAGCCUGUUUUCCAGAUGUAUUUUCUAAAAUUUACCCAAAACAACUGCUGGAAAAUCUGGGGGAGAUUCUUUAAACCCAACAGAGAGGUAUGUGAGUAUGUGAGAUGAAUGUAAGUACAGAUCACGGUCUGAUUUUCUUUAUGUAUUUAUGUAUUAAAGGCAGUGUUAAAUAGGAAUUGUAGUAAGAAGCACUUAUAAAUAGUAAUUUUUUUUUUUUUGCAUCUCAUCCUAAACUGGCAUCUGAAUCAAUGAAUGAUGCAUUAAAAUGCCUGUUUCUCACCAGAAAGUACAAGGCAAGCCAUGGGUUGCUAGUUCAUUAUAUUAUUUCCUUAUUUUAGAAGAUAAGGGACUAAUAUAUCAAUUUCCAUGCCAAGUAUAUAAUUUACUAAUAAAACUUUGAAAGCUUCUAGGAAUCUUAGGAAUUCCACCUUAAGAAUGGGAAUGACACAUGUAUGUCUGGGGGACUGUCCUGUUAGCACCAAGCCUUUUGUUUUGCAUGUAGAGAAAGAAAAAAACAUCAUCCAUCCAGUUCCAGGUUUGAGAAGAGGUCCCCUGAUCUCCCUGUGAGUUGUUUCAGUGGUUACACUCCAUUUCUCAUGGGUCAGGUACUGGUCUCAAAGGUCUCCUUGACCUUUUCAUGACCAUGUUGCUAUGUAAAAUGAUGUAGAAAACAAAGCAUGGUGGUUACCUGCAGUUAUCACCUUCUCAUUAUCGCUGUCCAUCUGGAAGAGAAGGUCAAGGCUUCACCAGAUUACUUGUUCUAUACUACUCUGAUUUCUUAAUUUAAAUCUGAUUAAUUUCCAGGGCUGCUGAAGGUACUGAUUGUCUUGUGUUCAACAGGACCUUUGAGCUUACACGAGUCACGUUCAAGGGAAGGGAGUGCCAAAAGCCAUUACAGAGUUGAUCCCACGGCUGUUGUCAGUGUUGGAACAAGUCCCAUUUGAAUGUAAUUUCUUCUUAGCACAAGGACUCACAUCUUGGGACAGACCCAAGUCCUGUCAGACUGCAAGACAAUUGACUUUUCUGCUUACACUGUAAUUAAUGCUAUUGAAAUCUCAGAAAAGAAAGCAGAGAAAGCACAAAACAUUCAAGUUUAGGGCUAUCCACCUUUCUUUCACUGCUUAUCUCAAGGGAUGUGAAUCCAUUAGAAAUAAGGUUCUAGAUGCCAAAACCAAUAAAAAUGCAGACUUUAAGGUCUAGCCAAAUUGUGGUUAAAGUUAUUUCUCUGUGGAUCACACUCCGUCAUUAAUUUUAAGGCUGGACAUUCUCCAAACUCUGUGGUUUCUUUGCAACAAGGAGUAAGAUCCCAGUGAUUAGAUGGCUUACAUUUCACUAUUUUUUUUUAACAUAUCCAGUUGAAUGAAAAUUAGAAUUUAAUAAUUCUGUUUCUUUCUGAUGGAAAAACAAAAGAGCUGUAAACCUGUUGAAAAUGGAUGUAAGCAUUCAAAACAGAGCAAAGCAGUUUAGAUGAUAUAAAUUAGUAUAGCUUAAUGGUUUACAUCAUGUGUAUGUGAUGUCUUCGAGGGUUUUCAUCUUUAUUGGUAGAAAAGUGCUGUGGCUAAUUGCUUUCAGCAUAAUUAAAUUCACAGGAAAUAAUUUUAUUUCAGUAUGGAUUGCCAGGAAAAGAUGGGUCUUUUGGAGAGCAUAGGUCAAGCAGCACAUUACAAGCCUGUACUUUUGUAUGAAACAUUGUGUGAAGUGCUAUAUUCUUCAGUGGCAUUUGCAUAAAGAACUCAUUAAAAAAAAAAGACAAAAACCCAGCAGAACUGUGUGCUCCCACAGCACAAGUAAUCCUUUGUGAAAAACUUUCCACAAAAUUAAAGUCAUAUUAGAUGCUACUGAAAUAAUAAGAAAGGCUCAUAGUUACUUUAAUUUUAUUUUUUUAGUACACUGAGCCAGUAGAAGUAAUUUACUUUGUAAACUUCAAAAAAGGAUAUUGAAGAUCUCUGUUGGGAAGUGUAGCAAUUUAAUGGCAAAAUUACUUUACAGAUUAUUUUAGUAUAGGCUUUGUUUGGAAAGACCAAAGUUAUGUUAAACUUAUGUUAAAAAGCCUGAGAUACCUUGCUCAGGAUUUUUUAAAAAAAUAUUCCUUGACUUGUUCUUGCAAUCCUUAUAUUCUAUGAGAAAAUGGCUUUUAAGGUAAUCUGGAGAUAUUCAGUCACAUUAAAUAUUACAACUUUAAGAUAAAAUGUCUUCAAGAAUACUAAGGUUUUACUCAGAAAAUGGAUCACUGCAAUAUAUGAAGUAUAUUUCUGAGUACCCUUAUACUCCUAAACUCCUAAAUCCAUAAACAUUUCUUAAUAUUUGGUGAUGGCCACUAUUCUAGAAAGGAUAUUACAUGGAACAGAUCUUGAUCUGACCACUGUGGAUUUCUGCACAAGAGGUCAGUGUUUACAUUCCCACCCAAUUCAGAUGAACCCUCAGAAAAUCCUGGGGUGGCAUUCAGGACACACUGAGUGCCACAGGCACCACAAGCAAGGAGCAGCAUAACCUGUGUUGUCCUGGACAAAUUUGUAGGACUGCCCUGUCCUCUCCCAUUUUAAAGAAAAUUCAGGGAUGUAUCCUUUCCUUGAAAAGUGAUACCUGAGCUCACUGCACAGCUUGCUGUAAAUCCCCCAGAUGUCACUGGGCCAAAACUGGUAUGACUCCACCACCAGCCUCUCCUGACCCCAUAUCUGCCUGGGCUGUCCUCAGCUUCCCCUGGGCUGCCUGGUCAGCAGCUCCACAGCCUUUCCCUGUCACAGAUAUUCCACAGCUGCGCCACUCACUCCAAUGGAGGUUGGCCCAGAGCCUUUCCCAUGCCCACAUCCCUUCUGUUUCUGAAAAAUGACCUUAACUCAAACUGGUUGAGUAGAAUUUGAAUUCUCAUGCCAGCUUUGAACAGCCAGACUUCAGCUGGAUUAAGGAAGACCUUUUAUAAUACUUCCCUGUAUCUCUGGUGGUAUUAUUUUCUUCAUUUUUUAGCCCCAUAGUGAUUUAAAAACUGGAAAAAAAGUCAUAGCUAUUAUUGCACAUUAUAUAAUAUGCAAAGUAUCUGGUACAAAGAAGUUUAAAUACUUCUGUAUAUGUGUGUCAAUUGCUUUACUGAUUUUUAGAACUGUUACACCCUGGGAAAUAAUGGCUGGAUAUUUUUAAAUAUUUUAUUCACUUGAUAGUCUAGGAAGUAAUUUUAAUGUAAAAUUACUGUAUAAAGUUAUUUUACUGUUGAUAUAGACUAUAAAAUACAUUGAAAUUAAAUUUGACUAAAUUAUUUUGGGCACAAAAAUAGGAAGUAGACUUUUAUUUUCAAAGGGGACCAUUACAAACUCCAGCUUGAUCCCGUCAGUGUACUGGUUUUGAACUUAAAGGACCAUAUGGAACUCCCUAUAAGGUGAGGCUACAGGUCAUUUUGCUAAUUUUUUUUUUUUUCCAGGUGGAUAAACGACAGGGGUUUCAUGAAAUAGGAAAAUCUUGAACAGCUAAUUAGACCAAGGCUUUCUAAAGGAACCAAUCAUUUAGCUAAUUUGGGAAAUACUAAGCUCACCUAGACUUCAAGAGCUUCAGGUUUUGAGUUCCCCUCUUGCAGGAGCUCCCUUGUAGAUACAUAUGAAUACCAUAAAACUGGUAUCAACCUUUUUGGUUUUGCUUUUAAAUUUGUAUAUCUCUAUUACUGAGCAGAUUGUAAUAAGCAGUUGAUGCUGAGCCAUUUUUCCAGCACUUAUUUUGUGAGUUGGAACAGUAUGACUAGAGGAUGGAAAGUUGAACAACUCUGUAAUACAGACUCACACUGGAUGAUUUAUGAGCGAUGUGUGGGGUAAGAUUUUAGAAAAAUAUAAAUUAUACCUGUUCAUCAUGUUAACUUCUUUUAAUGUUUCCCACAUGUUACUAUGACAACAUCCAUGGGAUAUAUAUUUUAAUUUCUGUUGCACAGAGGAAGUGUGUCAGGUCUGCACAUUUCUCUUGUUUUUAUGGCUGAGUGCUGUGUCUAAUGCAGGUUGUAAAUCUUCUUGGAAAAAUAUAUAAGAGGGUUUUCAUCACAGUGGCUCUCCUGGCAAUUCUGAAGCAUUUAAUAAGCAUAAUUUAAAUCUAAAAAGAACAUUUACACCCCCUGUGAUGUGGAGACUUCUAAAGUGGGGGUAGCAAAUGCUCUGCAAAAAAGCAGGAGCUUCAUGCUAACAAUUGCUGAACGUGUUACAUAGUUAAACACAUUGUUAAAACUCUUACUUCAAUAAAACUGCAAAAAAUGUCUUGAGGCCAAUAUUUAAUUUCCUGUUUUCCAUAUAGUGGGUACAGGAUGCUUUUCAAUUUUUUUUUAUUUCUUAUGUAAAAAAUGGGUUAAAAAAUUCUUUAUAGUUUUCUAAACACAUUUUCCAUACAACUUGAAUGGUUUUCAUGACAGUGAGAUUUUCCUUUAAAAAUUACAUGUAAAAACUAUGUGUAAUUUCUGAAUUGGGUUAGACAGUCUCAGUUGCUGCACCACAUGCUGUUGUUCUACAUGGCAAUUAGUUUGCAUAUGCAUUUGAAAACAGUGAGAAAAGUGACAGAGAAUUGUGCUGAUAAGUGGUUUAAUGGAAUUAUUCAGCAGGCCAAAGCUCAUUAAUCACAGGGAACAGUCUCCCUGUGAUACUUCAGUGUAUACUUAAACAAGACUCCACUUAUUUAUUUACUUUCCAAUGUAAUUUUUUUUAAAUCAGAGUGGGAACAUUAACCACAGAGUUUCCAGUGAAAAGUAAAAUCUACUCCAAAUCACUAAGUUAGAACUUAAACAUAAUUACCUAUAAAGAAUGAAAACUUUUAGUAAUUUCCUGUAAUUUCCCCACCAAAUUAAAUUUUGCCUUGCAGUACUGCUAUAAAAAACAUCACUCCCAUCUCACAUACACUAAGUGGGACUUUGUGUAUGAAGGUGCCAUUCUCAAAGAAAAGGGUAAAAUCCACAUCCUGAUAGUCUUCUUCUUCCAGCCUAUGUUUUUAUAUCAAUCUCAUCUUAUCCUUGUAUCUGUUACAGCUUUUCCACUUGAACAGCUAAUAAUUCAGUAGAAGAUCCAUUUGUUUAGGACAAAUGGCUGCAGCUGUUAAUUUAUAUUCAUUUAUACUAUUGACUACACUGCUAUAAUGGUGCAAGUAUUGUGCUUGUGUUUGGUGCCUGCAGCCCACGCUGUUCUACAUCUCUGGGCAUGCUGUUGCAGCUGGAUUCUGUUUGAUGAUAACUUUAUCACUUCUUGUAAAGUUGUGGCAUUUUUAAAAAGUGUGUCUCAGGGGAAAUUUACACCCUAGAAAUUCCUGACACAUGUAGUUAGCAAAUGGCUUUCUGAAUUCCCCAAAACAGUCCCCACCUGACCUUCCAUCAGUGGGAAGUGCCAUAGCUUGAAGAUUAUCUGAUGCUUCACCACUGCACCACAAAGAGCUCAGAGGACCACCUGGGAAGCAUGAGUGAGCUCCCACAGGCUGCCCACUGCUGCUUGGAGAACGGCUGCUAUCAGCAGGAAAAACAAAUUCCGAGUCCAGGCAGCUCACUGCCAGGCUGGGGCAGAGCUUUUAUAAAAAGCUGGGUUUUCAUUGUGAUUCCUGGUAGUGCAGGCCUGCUGCUAAGCUUUCAUUUCAGGCUCUGUGACCUGCCUGGGAUCUCCUGUUUGACACGGACUGCUAGCAAAGUUCCCUCCUGGAGUCCAUCAGAAUGCCAGCAGAAAUCUGUGACCUCCUAUCUCCACAAUGCCACCUGCUGGGACAUGCUUUCUUUGUCCUCUAUGACAUUUACAAUGUGACAUUGUAAAUCAUUCCCUGGCCUUCCUUUCAGCUUAUGUCUGGCCUGUUUGGAUUGUUGCAGAUGUUACAAAUUCAUCCUGGACUUUGAGAUCCCCCCCCGCCCCCCCCGCCUCAUUUGGAAAGUUAUACAAGCUUCUUUAUGCAGUUGUUGUUCAGUUGAUUAUACCAGAUAAACUAACAAGACAGGAAGGGAGAAAAAUUUUGCCCAGAAUUUCACAAUUUCUUCAUAAGAAUAUAGGCAUUAAUUUCCCAAAAUUUCCCAUUUUCCUUUUGUGUCUGGGCAUACCAGGCUCACAUAAAGGGCCAGAAUAUGUACAAUCUCUUUGUCUGACAAACCCAGACCCAAAUUAUAAGUGUAUGUCAAAGCACAAAGGGCAGAUUUAAGUGGAAGAACUUUAAUCAGUUCUGUUAAACCUGCCUGUAGAGAACUUUUAUAGGCAUAGCUGGAAAGGGAACAAAGUUUUGUUAUGGCUGUUUCACCACUUGUGGGGAAGCACUGGGGAUAAAUUUAUACAUACAGAGUUUGUACAUGGAGUUGCUGCAAAAAACAGUGGUGCUUUUAACUGUGUUAAAUGGUUUAGGAAUAAAAAAAGUUAAAUUAAUGAACAUACUGAUGUGUAUUUUCCCCACAGAAUAUGCUCAUGAAAUGGUAAAGGACUACAUUAUAGCAUAUAUUUCAGUUUUUUCCUAAGAGAUCAUGCAAACAUAUGAUAAUACUGCUAAGCAUUUCUCAGAUGUCCUUAAUGUAUAUCACAGAGCUUACAUUUGGCAGAGAAAUAGGAACAGGGAGAAGUAAACUUCAGUCAACUUGUCAUGUUGUCCAUGGUGGAAAGAAAAUUUCUAAAGCUUGUAAGAUUUUGGUAAAACAAUUAAUUGGAAAUCUGUUAUAAUAAUUCCAUGUCCCUCAUUUACCAUGGGGGUACAAGGAGAGACCUAGAAACUUUCCUUGUUGAUAUUUCAGAAGGUUCAUGUUCCUUUACAGUAUGGUGGUAGGGAAACAAAGGCACAGUUUUAGCAAAGAUAAUUGCCUUCAGGAGGUUCCAUGUGUUAGUGUCACGUGUAGUGGCAGCUGACUUAAACAGCUUGUUUAGCCCUCCUGAUUAGCACUGUAGCCACACCAGGCUAAAUGCAUGUUGCCCUUUCUUAGGUCUGCAGCCCCAGCAGCCCUUGGUGCCACUGAAAUUUGUAGAGGAAGCCAGCUGUAAAUGGCAGGUACAAAACUUUCUAAGGCACAGUACGAGUAUUUUUAUUCAGAACAUGCUUAAAUUCAAAGAAACAGAAAAAGCACUGUAUGCCUUUGUUUCUGAUGCUGAAACUUGGGUAAAAUGUGGGAAAAUGAGCAGGACCUAGUCUAUGACCAAGAGCAAAUUUAGGCACUGUGAAGAAAUACAACGUAAUAAAAAGCAGAGAGUUCCUUGCUUUUGUAGACAGGGUAUGGAUUACAGUAGAAGAUGAUAGGUAAGUACCUCACAGAGACAGAAAGAAAAUACAAAAUAAUGAGUUUACUGCAGUGACAUUAUCUGCCACAGCCCCACUGCUGGUGGACUGUGACCAGGUUUGCAGUUGUGAACAAAAAAUGGCACAAAAGUCUGAAGGCUGAGUUUGUGACAAAUAAUUAGCAUCUUACUGAAGUGCCAUGUAAGAUGCAAAAUGUGCUUACCAUUGCUUGAAAUAAUUUUGUGGCUAAGAACAUUGUAAAAGUGCACAGGAGAUUUAUGUGCCUCUCAAGGAUGUGUUUGACAGUAGUGGUUUUAUACUUGAUGCUAUAAUUUUUCAACUCCAAGUGAAGCAAAUUGAUUUGUAAUGUGAUACAGUCACCAGAACCAUCAACACAUUUACACCAUACGACUUUUCCCCAGCUGAUAACACUGUAACUUAUGGUGGAUUUUGGCUGAACUCAAUGCAGAAAAGAAGACAAAGGUUAGAAAGCAAAUGGAAAGGAGUCCAACAUAAUGAAAACACAUCUGUAUCCAAGUUUGGAUGAUGAGCAGAAGUAUAGGGGAAUUAAAAAGCCCACAUAUAUCUUGACACUAAGUUUGAGAGAUGUGUUCCAGGAGCCUAAGUGUGACUUCUGGUUGAAGGAACCUUAGCAUUAAGAUCUGCAUAGUAGCCAAGCAGCUUUCAUUUUUCUUCUACUAAUGUUUUUGGCUUAACUAAGAUCUUCCUGAAUUGUAUCUGUCCCACUUUCACAGCAGAAUUUUCCAGUGCCAAGCAUCUAUGUUGAUAUCAUAGCUGGGAAAUUAAUUGUCUAAAACAGUCUCAGCAGAUUCUGUUGGUGGGCAGAUAUCUUAACUGACCAAGAGACAGGAAAGAGAUUGUCCAUCUGUCCCCUGGAUUAUGGAUUAGGUGUCUCAAUGAGACUGUCCCUGCUAAGUCCAAUGCAUUUCCUGCACUGUGAGAUCUAAAUCAGGGGUUUGGAUUUAGAUGAAUGACUCACUGUUUUUAAAAUGCUGGGUUGUGCCUCACACUGAUACACUGACCUAGUGGUGCACACCCCAGAGGAGGAAGACUUGUCUUCUAUUCUUUGUUCAACCUUUAGAAGUUUAAAUAUGCAGAUAUCAUCUAAAUUCAAAUGAGCAUCUUAGAUAUUCAGUCCUGCUUAAGUCAUGCUGAAAUACUGCCAACAGCAUCGGGUUCAUACCAAGGAGACCUUCAUUCGAAUCCUUUCUCCUCAGACUGUUUUGUUCACUUACCAUUAAAAACAAGAUAGAAGCUACUAAAUGUCCAAGUAGAGGUUGUGGCAAGUGCUAUUCUCAGCAACUGGUAUUGGGACUGGCACUGUUCAGCCUCUUUGUGGGUGGCAUGGACAGUGGGACCCAGUGCAUCUGCAGCAAGUUUCCCUUUGACAUCAAGCCACCACCAGCCGAGAGACUGUGCCAACUUCAUGAAGCUGAAAAAGACCAAGAGCAGGGUCCUGCACCUGGGUUGGGGCAGCCCCAAGUACAAAUGCAGGCAGGGUGGAGCAUGGAUUGAAAGCAACUCUGAGGAGAGGGACUUGGAGUGCUGGCAGAUUAGAAGCACAACAUGAGCUGGCAGUGUGCUCCUGCAGUCCUGGCAGCCAAACCUGUCCUGGGCUGCAUCAAAGCAGCAUGAGCAGCAGGUCAAGGGAGGGGAUUCUGCCCCUCUGCUCUGCCCCUGUGAGACCCCACCUGCAGUGCUGGGUCCAGCUGUGGGAUCCCCAACACAGGAAGGACACAGACCUGUUGGAGUGACUCCAGAGGGAGUCCUGAAGAUGAUCAGAACGCUGGAGAGCCUCCCCUAUGAGGACAGGUGGACAGGCUGAGAAACUUGGGACUGUUCAGCCUGGAGAUGAGAAGGCUCCAGGGACUCCUUUGAGCACUGUCCAGUACCCAAAGAGGCCAACAAGGAAGAUGGAGAGUGACUUCCUUAAGGGACAGGUAGUGUUAAGGAAUAAUGCCUUCACACUGAAAGAAAGUAGGUUUUACAAAAGAUAUCAGAAAUUCUUUAUGUUGAGGGUGACGAGUCUCUGGAACAAGGUACCCAGUGAAGUUGUGAAUUUCCCAUCUCUGUCACUGUUCAAGACCAGAUUGGAUGGGCCUUUGAGCAACCAGGUCUAGUGGGAGGUGUCCCUGCUCAUAGCAGGGGAGUUGGAGCUAGGUGCUCCUUAAGGCCCUUUCCAAUCCAAACAAUUCCCUGAAAAAUAAAAUUUCUAAACCAAGUGCUCUAAAGCUUCUUGACAUCAAUCUUAUCUGAGUAUUCUUGUGCUCCCAGAUUUGUGUUCAUCUGAAAAAUAAAUUGAAAGUCUUUGAUAUAUUUUUUAUAAUUUUGUAAAUAGGAUUAUUUAACAGGUUUUUGGAGUGGUCAGAACUCCUAAUAUCCUGUGGACAUCAUUCUUUCUAUAACAGAUAGAGGGAUUAAGUCUUUCAUGGUGUGGGUAUUAAUACCAGUGCCUCCUUUAAAGAAAACUCCUAAAAUACACCCAGAUUGGACUCAUAAUGUGAUGUAAAUUCACCUUAUUGAAUUAUUGUAUUAUCAGGUUGGGGUUUUUUUUGUUUGUUUGGUUUGGUUUUUUGUUUUGGUUUGGUUUGGUUGGGGUUUUUUUUUGUUUGUUUGUUUGUUUUUUUGGUUUUUUAAAAAUUUUUAUUUUAUUUUAUUUGAAAAACUCCAGAUAGCAGGAUGGAGAGUUUGCAAUGUUUCUGGUAAAUCAGACUGUUCUGGUGAUAAUAUUAAAUGUCUGACAUGUCUGAUGGUGCUGGUAUUGCCAAUGUGAAGGCAUUAGUUGUCAGUUUGUGAAAUUAUUUUAGUUUAGUUCAUUCCUAUGUCAUAAUUCUUAAAUUAUGCUGACACUCCAUGGUGAGAGACACCUUAGAAACUCUCGUGAAAUAUUCAUUUCAUGCAGUUCAAACUUUGAGAAAACAAGAAAUUGUUUUUCUGUCCUGUACACUACAGAAUUUUGUUGACACUGUGUAUUAAAAUUGCCAAAUAACUGCAAAGAUGUAUUACUACAAGUCAUAAUUUCUAUUCAAAGGUAUCCUGUUUCCUGUCCAAAGCAGUGAAGCAGAAACGUGACUGUGAAUGUCAACUAAAUUAGAUAUGACACACAUUACUGUCUAGGCAAGUGAGUCAGGCAGCUGUGAUACUGUGAACUGAUAGGUCCUGCCUCAGGCAGAGGGGAAAUGUUGACACACCUGGAUAGUCACAUUUUAUCAAGGACUCAAACUUGCAGUUUCAUGCUCAGUUAGAAAGUGGCAUUUCUCAUCUCAAAACUAUUUGAUUCUUCAGAAGAUUAGGACCUGGGCUAGAGCUACACUACAUCUGAGAUUUAGUAUGUCCUUCUUUAUAUUCAAUAUCCUUGCAAAAGACAAGCUACCAGGAGUUCAAGGUUAUUUUUUUAGUUUCGUGUCGACAGAGGCAAGCAUGGGAAAGUAAGCAAUAAAAUUGUUAUUAGCAAGUACCAACAUUUUUGAAACCUAAACCCUCCAAAUAACUCCAUCUCUGCCUCUGGUGGCUAUCAGUAGAGAAGAUGUAAUUGCAUUUUGUCAUACAGUUCAGAUAUGAUUACUAACAGACAGUUUAUCCAGGCUUCAGCUCAAUUUUCUGCAGAUGAGAAAACAUAAAUUGGCUUUGUGCAGGGUCAGGUGUGGUCUGCAGGAGGUGUGUGCUCAGGUGCCAUGUCAUGAAGUGCAGGUGAGCUGCCCAGUAAUCCUUUGUAUCCUGGCACACAGCCAGAGCAGAAAAGGACCACAAGGAGACUUCCAGAUGGUCCUGUACAAGCAACUUGGGCCCAGCUUGAUUUAUUUGCUUUGGCUGUGUGUGGAUAUAGCAUUCAACUGAACUAGAACACAGUCAAAAGCCUGGAGCACUGGGGAGCACAGUAUAGAAACAAACACAGCUCUGCAAUAUGAUUCUCCCUGUAUGUUUUUGUAACUGCUGUAUGCUUGGUAAUUCCAUGACUUGGUCAUCU